rnacentral:rRNA from 1 species
GACGAACGCUGGCGGCGUGCCUAAUACAUGCAGGUAGAACGCUGAAGGAGGAGCUUGCUUCUCUGGAUGAGUUGCGAACGGGUGAGUAACGCGUAGGUAACCUGCCUGGUAGCGGGGGAUAACUAUUGGAAACGAUAGCUAAUACCGCAUAAUAUUGACUAUUGCAUGAUAGUCAGUUGAAAGGUGCAACUGCACCACUACCAGAUGGACCUGCGUUGUAUUAGCUAGUUGGUGGGGUAACGGCUCACCAAGGCGACGAUACAUAGCCGACCUGAGAGGGUGAUCGGCCACACUGGGACUGAGACACGGCCCAGACUCCUACGGGAGGCAGCAGUAGGGAAUCUUCGGCAAUGGACGGAAGUCUGACCGAGCAACGCCGCGUGAGUGAAGAAGGGUUUCGGAUCGUAAAGCUCUGUUGUAAGAGAAGAACGAGUGUGAGAGUGGAAAGCUCACACUGUGACGGUAUCUUACCAGAAAGGGACGGCUAACUACGUG